GGUUCGAUGGUGUAGUUGGUUAUCACGUGAGCUUAACAAAUAAAAGAGCUGUUCUUCGGAGCUGUUUCUUCUAAUGAUUAACGCUCAAGGUCCUGAGUUCAAUCCUCAGUCGAAUCA